GGGGAUGUAGCUCAGUGGUAGAGCGCUUGCUUUGCAUGUAUGAGGUCCAGGGUUCGAUCCCCUGUAUCUCCA
rnacentral:tRNA from 1 species